UCCAAUGGGAUUCAUUGCUUGUGUCCAUUUUGUGCUGUGACAGAAAUAGGACUGUAGGAAAAGCCUCAAGCAGGCUGGGUCCUGUCAGCAGAAUUAGUCUUAAUGGCAGGAGGAGGAGUGUUUUUAUGUAGUAACUAGAGCAGGGGUUCUCAAACUGUCAGGACCCCAAACUGGGUAACAACCCCAUUUUAAUGGGGUCACCAAGGCUGGUGUUGGCCCUGAGCCCCAACAAGUCUCAAGCCCAAGCCCCACUGCCCAGGGCUAAAAUUAUAUGCCUCCUGCCCCAGGGCAGAAGUCCUUGGGCUUCAGGUUUGGCCCCCCAACCCCACCCAGGAUGGUGGGGCUCAGGCAGGUUGGUUCUUUGGUCCCCGUCCUGGAGUCUUGUAGUAAUUUUUGUUCUCAGAAGGGGGUCACACUGUAAUGAAGUUUGAGAACCGCUGAACUAGAAUAUUUCAAUUAGCAGUAGGUUUGCGAUCACUAUGGCCAUUCUUAAAUGUUCAGCAUUCUAAUAUCACAUUAAAGUAAUAGCUGCAUUUUAUUUCAAGAAGUGAUGUUCCAACCCCAUCGCUGUCUCCCAAAUUCUUCAUAUUGACACCUUAUGUGGUUAGAGUGUGAGGCAUGCCAUGGAUUCACAUUGAAUGUUUGGAGCAAUCCCCAGUGAAAUCUGUACUCCAUGAGACCAGGAGAAUUUAUCUGCAAGAAGUCAAGUGGACAUGAGUCAAUUGAGAGAAGAUGGUAUAUAUAAUGGAUACGUACCACUAUAAAGGGGAAGAGCAUUCCUAUUGUGAAGAAACUCAGCCAACUAACAGAUCCUCCUAUCAUCUGCCGCUAUGACUGACUCAGUUAAAGAGAGAAUGAUUCCACAUGGAGACCCUAGAGAUGGAUGGAUACAUGAUUCACAAAAAAGGAAAAGAAAACAGGCCAAACAUCCAUUUGCUGCCAAACCUUCCAUUGAUGUUUAACUCACCUGCCUAAUCUAAUCGCUAUGCUGCCUCCGAUGUGAGCUCCGCACAGACCUCCAAGGGAAAAUAUAGACGCAAUGACAGACCAGAGGAGAGUCAGCAAGCUUGGAUUCAGUUCCAUUUGAUAGCGACUGCUCCAAGUUUCAUUUAGGAAUUUGUGGAUGUGCUGAAAAUGCAGAGUGGUGAAUCAACUUGCAUCUCAAUAAACAAUUGAUCACUUAGCCCAAAUGCCUGAGAUCCCAUCCUCAGAGCCAACAUGUGUAAGGGAAAACAUCUUACUGAAUAUCAGCCAUUCCCCGUAGAGCUGUGUUACACAAAAAUCCUACUAACUAGUUACAAAUUAGCAGAAUUCUGACUCACUAGU